UCGUGAUGAUGGUAGUUAAUGUGAUGAUGAUGAUGGUACAACUACCAUCAUCAUCAUCACAUUAACUACCAUUGUGA
rnacentral:miRNA from 1 species